rnacentral:rRNA from 1 species
CCAGUGGCGAAGGCGACUCUCUGGUCUGUAACUGACGCUGAGGCGCGAAAGCGUGGGGAGCGAACAGGAUUAGAUACCCUGGUAGUCCACGCCGUAAACGAUGAGUGCUAAGUGUUAGAGGGUUUCCGCCCUUUAGUGCUGCAGCAAACGCAUUAAGCACUCCGCCUGGGGAGUACGGUCGCAAGACUGAAAUUCAAAGGAAUUGACGGGGGCCCGCACAAGCGGUGGAGCAUGUGGUUUAAUUGGAAGCAACGCGAAGAACCUUACCAGGUCUUGACAUCUUCUGACAACCCUAGAGAUAGGGCUUCCCCUUCGGGGGCAGAGUGACAGGUGGUGCAUGGUUGUCGUCAGCUCGUGUCGUGAGAUGUUGGGUUAAGUCCCGCAACGAGCGCAACCCUUGAUCUUAGUUGCCAGCAUUCAGUUGGGCACUUUAAGGUGACUGCCGGUGACAAACCGGAGGAAGGUGGGGAUGACGUCAAAUCAUCAUGCCCCUUAUGACCUGGGCUACACACGUGUUACAAUGGGCAGAACAAAGGGCAGCGAAGCCGCGAGGUUAAGCCAAUCCCACAAAUCUGUUUUCAGUUCGGAUCGCAGUCUGCAACUCGACUGCGUGAAGCUGGAAUCGUUAGUAAUCGCGCCAUCAGCAUGCCGCGGUGAAUACGUUCCCGGGCCUUGUACACACCGCCCGUCACACCACGAGAGUUUGUAACACCCGAAGUCGGUGAGGUAACCUUUUGGAGCCAGC